UGAAUUAAAUUAAUUAGAUGUAAUUGAAGUUGUUAAUUAGAUAUAAUUAUGUUAUUUUGUUUAAUUAUUAAUUGUUGUUGAUUGUGAAUUAACAAAAUUAUUUGUUUGAAAUGUUAGUAUUGAUUUAGGUUAAAUUAUGGAUUAUGUUAUGUUUAACAUCAUGCAUGUCUCUUAACGAAUUAUCAAGAAUAUUAUGUUAUCGAUGUGGCUAGAUUAUGUUUGAAAUAGAAGUUGAAAUUACUUAGAGGAUGUUGCAAACCAGAGUUAGUCAAGCUCGUUACAUUGGUAUACCAAUAUGUAGUGAUGAGAGUGUGAAUUCAAUGUUUAGGUUUGCUAGGAUUAAUGGGAUUAAUAUGCUGGAACUUUACUUAAAUAGUAGACCUAGAUGGGAAAACUCUUAUAGUAUGAAGUUGACUUGAUUUCUAAGUAACUCUAAAAAAACUACAUAGGCAUCAUGAGUAGAUGGUCCAUUUAGGUUAGGUGGUAAUGAUAAUAGACAAGUGUUAGUACUGGAAAUAGUUAAUAUGAAACCUCAGUUGGGUAUGACAUUUGUUCCAUAUUGCUAUGGAGAAUCAGAACCAAGUGAUGACGAAGAUAAGUGUCACAUUGAUAGAGUUGUAGUCAAUGUGGAUGAUGGGAAUGCUGAGGUAGUUGAGCCUAUUAAUCAAUACAUGACACCUCUUGCUCCUGAAUUUGAGGUUGUUAGUGUGGAUCAUCGAUAUAGAUGUAAUGAUUGGGCUGAUAGUCAUAGGCAUUCAAGCUUAUUAGUUGAUGAAUUAGAGGUUGGGAAAAGAUUCAAAGACAAGUCUGAAUGUGUUAAUGAAAUUAAAUGAUAACAUAUAAAGAAUUCUUUGUAGUACAAGGUCUAUCUUUCAAUAAAGUCUUAUGUUCAAUUGCAGUGUGUUCAAGAACUAGUUUGUAGAUGGUAUUUGCGUGUAGGGUAUCACCAAAGAUCUUAUUCACAAGAAAUUUCUAAAUUGAAAGGGCUACACAUAUGUCGAAAUCCUUUUAUUUUGCAACGCUAUCGUCAGGUUAACUCAGAUUUAAUUGCUGAGGUGAUGUUGACAAUUGUGAAAAGAGAGUUAAGUAUGAGCAUUAUAAUAUACAGAAUAUUGUGGAGAGGGGCAUAAAGUCUUUUAUUGGAAUGCGUGAACGACCAAAUAAAAAAUAUUGGAAAGGUUAAUUAGUAUACACGAAGGGUUAUUUCAAAACCUAACUAGAACUCUACUGGCCAUCAGAGAUUCAAAUCCAUGAACAAUUGUCACUUGAGAUUAUAAAAUGGUUGAUGGGAAUAAGGAAACAUUUGAAAGAGUGUUUUGGGCAUUUUGUGAUUGAAUUAAUGAGUUUCAAUAUUAUCAUCUUCUAAUUAGUAUUGACGACACUCACCUUUAUGGUAAGUACAAAGCUAAAUUAUUGGUUGCAAUUGCUUAUGAUGCGAAAAAUAGAGUUUAUCUGUUGUGUUUUACUAUUAUGGAAGAAAAGACGAACAAUAAUUGGAGUUGAUUUUUGGAUUUGCUUUGCCGAUAUGUGAUUGAGGGACAAACUAGGUUAUGUAUUAUAUCAGAUAGACAUAUGACGAUAAAGAUUUCCAUGGAACAUAUUUUUUCAAAACCUAUUAAAUAUCAUCGAUAUUGUUCAUGACACUUUGUGAGUAAUUUCAACACAAAGUUAAAAAAUAUUUUCCUGAAAAAUACGUUGCAUAAGAUGUGUGUACACCCUUCUAAACAGGAGUUUGACAUUUUAUAUGAGAAGUUACUAGAGGCAAAUGAUGCAAUUAGAGCAUGGCUAGAUGCUGAACCUAAAGAAAAGUAAGCAUUAUUUUAUGAUUAUGGUGGUCGUCGUUCUGACAAGACCACAAACUUGUUGGAGGUUUUUAAUAAUGUUUUAAAAACUAUUUGUGGCUUGCUUGUUUCAGCUAUAAUAUUUUUUUUUAGGUGUAAUAAAUGUUUUGUGGAGUGUAGAGAAAAAAUUGAAGAAUUUUUGAGUCGUGAUGUGUUGUGGUCUUCAAAGGUCCUAGCUAAGAUACUGAUGCGACAACUUCAAGAUCACACCUGAUAUCUCUUUUCUUUUUAUCUUAAAGGUGAUAUAUUUCAAUCUGAGACACCUCUAAUAGCUAGUGUUAUAAGAAAAGUGUGAGACCAUGCUCACAUUAACAUCAAUCAAGCAACUUAUUCUUGUGGCAAAUGAUAAUUGUAUCAUCGACCAUGCUCUAUGAAAUAUGAACUAUGUAUAAUUUGUAGAUGAAUUCUAUUCCAACUUGUCAUAUAAAAAUGCAAAUAGUCCACAUUUUUAACUUUUAUAUGAUAUGUCAUUGUAGCUUGCAUAUACUUAUUCUUGGGUCAAAGGAAAUCCACUCGUUUACAUAAUGAGAUGGAUGUUAGAAAGGGACACUCAUUGAAUAGAUAUGAUAUAUGCAGUCAAAGGGGUCAUAAUAGAAAAACUUAUGAAACUAGAUAAUGUAUGUAUUUUUUUAAAAAAAUUAUGUCAACUUUAAUUUAAUUGCAAAUGCUAACAAUUUUUUUAUACAGGACCUUGAGAUAGAUAUGGUUUGGACUAAAGGAGGUUCAACCUCUUUUAGAAGUGUCAACAGGCAGGACCACCUUUGUUAUUGAUGAAGGUCCUGAUGAUAGGUUGCUAUUAUUUAUGCAAGAUCAACAUUGUUCCAAUGAUAUAUGAAGCAAUGAGGUCAGAUAAAUAUUCUAAAGAUUUAUUUUGAUGAUUUAACUAAGUUGUUUGAUAUUUAAGGCGGUGAUCCAGUGACACAUAGACAACAUAUCUUGAUGGAGUUGCAUGAACGUAUGCAUUCAUAUGUUAUUGAGGUCGGUGUUUAUGAGAUCAGUUAGUUGCGUCGCAUAAAUUUUGACCAUGCAUUGAUUGCAGCAUUAGUAGAGUGAUGAAGGCGCGAGAUGCACACCUUCCAUCUACGUGUUGGUGAGAUGACACCAACACUCCAGGAUGUAACGAAGUUGAUCGAUCUUCUGAUAGAUAAGACAUCUAUGACCAACAAUAGAGUUUUGAUUGAUAUAGAUUUGUUAUGUGAUUGUCUAUGAGGACAAGUGCCUCCAGCCAAUACUUAUAGGGGCGACUGUAUCAGAUUGACAUGGUUGGGUGCUAAUUUUAAUACCCCUUAGUACACGUGACAACAAACCAGCUUAUUAUGUAUGCUUAGGCAUACAUAUUACACAUGUUUAGAGGAUUUAUUUUCACGAGUACUAUUGGAAAUGCAGUUUCAUUGUACUUUCUGAUGGUUCUUAAUGAUUUUUGUGCCAUUUCAAAUUACAGUUGGGGGGAGCCAUUCUUGUAUAUCUAUAUUAGCAACUAUGCAAAACAUGUCUAAAAAAAAAGACAAAGUGCCUGGUGUCUUCUAUUUCUUCAGACAUGAGAGCAUAUUCAUAUCGGGUGUUCAAAGAGCUAGGGUAUUAACAUGAUUGACACUAUCACUUAGAGGCCACUCUCAAUUGGUUUCAGAUAUUUUACAAUAAAUCCCAAUCAUGUCCACGAGUUUUAUCGGGAUAAGUUGGACGCACAACAAUCACAUCUGGUUAUAUGGAUGCCACAUAUGAAGAACUUGAUACUUUAAGCUUUGCCUAUAUGUCGUGAGAGAUUUGAUAUU